GGCGACCUCAUCCCCGCCCCUCAGACUCCCACUUGUAGGAGGUCCUCUCUCGAGCCCUCAUCCGGCGACGGCGGCAACGGCCGUCCCUCCCGCGCCUCCACGGAGGUUUCCCCGCGCCGUCCACGGAGGAUUCCCGGCGCUAGGAGGUUGAAAUGGAUAGCUGGGUGGAUUUGCUGGAGAACAAUACGGGUAGCAGUGAGCUUGAAUGCUUGAUGCUGAUGAGUUCAGUUUUGAAGCAAUGCCUAAUGGACAAGCAUUCCAGGAAAACCUCUAGUGGUGUCUUGCUCAUUUGGAGAUCUCACAUACUCAUCCCCAAACACUUCAAUAAUAACUUUAACUAGCUUUCUAAGACUCUAUGAUAGUACUUUCACCAAUACGAAAAUAUUAGUCCAUAAAAUCUGCGGGAACGCCAUAACUAAUCAUCAUGUAGGCAGCACAAAUUUUCUGUAGACAAGAUAACCCAAGCCUUCCACAUAUAUCAUUUUUUGCACAAAGUAAUUAUCAUGCUCCUCUACAGCAUGUGCUAUGCAAAGAAAUAGAGGCCGAGUCAUUCUAAACCUGAGUCGAAGGAAC